rnacentral:lncRNA from 1 species
GUGUGACUUUUUCAGAAGGUGAGUUACGCGUUCCGGGCAGUCAGUGCACUGCUCAGCAGGAGGAGGUCCUGCAGGUGGUGCUGCAAGGGGUCGGCUGGCCGCAGGGGGGCCGGCAGCAGGGGGACUGCACAGACACAGGCUGGCAGCAGGUGGUGCUGCAAGGGGUCGGCUGGCCGCAGGGGGACUGCACAGACACAGGCUGGCAGCAGGUGGUGGCUCAGCAGGAGGAGGUCCUGCAGGUGGUGCUGCAAGGGGUCGGCUGGCCGCAGGGAGGCCGGCAGCAGGGGGACUGCACAGACACAGGCUGGCAGCAGGUGGUGCUGCAAGGGGUCGGCUGGCCGCAGGGGGGCCGGCAGCAGGGGGACUGCACAGACACAGGCUGGCAGCAGGUGGUGGCCCAGCAGCAGGGCCUGCACACC